UACGUAGAGUGCAAGCGUUAAUCGGAAUUACUGGGCGUAAAGCGUGCGCAGGCGGUUGUGCAAGACCGAUGUGAAAUCCCCGGGCUUAACCUGGGAAUGGCAUUGGUGACUGCACGGCUAGAGUGUGUCAGAGGGGGGUAGAAUUCCACGUGUAGCAGUGAAAUGCGUAGAGAUGUGGAGGAAUACCGAUGGCGAAGGCAGCCCCCUGGGAUAACACUGACGCUCAUGCACGAAAGCGUGGGGAGCAAACAGG
rnacentral:rRNA from 1 species